UGGAGAAGGUGUGUGGGGUGUUAUUGUACACACACACACACACACACACACACACACACACACACAGGUUUUUUUGUGUUUUUUUUUUUUUGAGAUGGAGUCUCACUCUGUCACCCAGGCUGGAGUACAGUAAUGCGAUCUCAGCUCACUACAACCUCCGCCUCCCAGGUUCAAGUGAUUCUCCUGCCUCAGCCUCCGUAAGUAGCUGGGACUACAGCCAAGCGCCACUACACCCAGCUAAUUUUUUGUAUUUUUAGUAGAGAUGGGGUUUCACCAUGUUGGCCAACACACUAAACCUAUAUAUAUAUAAUAGGUGUUAUUAUAUAUGUAUAUAUAUUUUAAAAACCUAUAUACAAAUAUAUAUUAUGGCUGAGCAUGGUGGCUCAUUCCUGUAAUCCCAACACUUUGGGAGGCCGAGGCGGGUGGAUCACCUGAAGUCAGGAGUUCAACUCCAGCCUGGGCAACAGAGUGAGACUCUGUCUCAAAAAAAUAAAAAAUAAAUAAAAAAUUAAAAUAUAAAUAUUAUAUGUAUGUGUGUAUGUAUAUAAAACCUAUAUAUUUAUAUAUAAAAAUAAUAUAUAGAAUAUAAUUAUAUUAUAUAUCUAUUAUAUAGAUGUGUGUAUAUGUAUUUAAAAUAUAUAAAAUAUAGAUUUUAUAUAUAUACACACACAUAUAUUUUAAAAACCUAUAUAUAAAUAUAUGUUUUAUAUAUAUACAUCUAUAUAAUAGAGGUGUAUUUUAUAUAUAUUUUAUAUAAAUGUAUGUUUUAUAUAUACAUACAUCUAUAUAAUAAAGGUGUAUUUUAUAUCUAUUAUAUAUAAAUAUAUAGGUUUUAUAUAUACAUAUAUAUAACAGAUGUUACAUAUACACUACGUAGCUUUAGUAGUUUUAUCCUUUCAGAACACACACACACACACACACACACACACACACACAGACUACUGGUGGAUACUAAGAUUAUUUCCAGUUGUUUGCUAGCAGUGCUCAAUAAACAAUCCUAAAUAUUAAACAUGUGUGAGGAUUUCUUUAGGGGAGAUUCUGAGCAGUUGACCUUUUCCAAGAGAAAAUGAUGUGCUCCAUCUGUAAAUCACUGAUUCUCCAACCUUCUCACACAACAGAAGCUCCUGGAAGGCUAGCUAAAAUGCAGAUUGGUGGGCCUCAUCCCCAGAGUUUCUGAUUCAGUGAGAAAGAAAGAGGGAGAGAGAGAGAGAGAGAAGAGAGAAUUUGCAUUUCUAAUAAGUUUCCAGGUCAUGCUGCAGCUGCUGAUGAGGACACUACACUGACAGCCACUGUUCUAGGUGUAUGUUGGGGAGACUAUCCUGUGGAAGAGAUCAUAGUUGAGGUUUUAAAGCCCCUAAUAGAUUAUCUAGGGAUAUUUUAGGAGGCUUCCAACUUAUUAUCCAAACAUAAGACAAUAACUCAAGAUUUAUCACAGUAACAGUAUCAGAUCAAUGAUAAACAUCUAUUUUAAAAAUCACAGAAUCCAUUCUUUUUUUUUUUUUUUUUUUUUUGAGAUGUAGUUUCGCUCUUGUUGCCCAGGCUGGAGUGCAAUGGCGCAAUCUUGGCUCACCACAACCUCCACCUCCCAGGUUCAAGCAAUUCUCUUGCCUCAGCCUCCCAAGUAGCUGGGAUUACAGGCAUACACCACCACGCCUGACUAAUUUUGUAUUUUUAGUAGAGACGGGGUUUCUCCAUGUUGAGGCUGGUCUCGAACUCCUGACCUCAGGUGAUCCGCCCGCCUCGGCCUCCCAGAGUGCUGGGAUUACAGGCGUGAGCCACCGUGCCUGGCUUAGAAUCCAUUCUUUUUAACCAAGAGAGAAGUCAACCUAGAAUCUUUGUUAGAAGGAAUCUUGAAGGGUCAUCCAGUCCAACUACCUGGCUAGGCUUUCAUCAGUAGCAUUCUUGACCUCAUCAACUAGCGUCCCAUUGAAUAGAUUCAGUGUUUAUGAAUUCACUCCCCAGCUCCUGAAGUAGCCCAUUCCCUGUGUCGAGAUGUCUGAUCACCAUCAUGUCCUUCAUAACCCUGACCAUAGGAAACCAUCCUUCAGAAGCUUCUAAGCAUCUACCCCGGUUCUACCCUCAAGGCUUUACUGAACAAAUCAUUUCCCUUCUCCACUUGAUGGCAGUCAAUUAUCA
rnacentral:lncRNA from 1 species